UUCAGAACCUGCCGUUGUUUCAAGACAAAAUUGUGGAAUGUUUCCGAAGAUACGCGUUGUUUGUGGUUUCGACGCGCCCUGACAUGCUGGGCGACACGUUGAGCAGCAACAUAGAAAAUAUUACGGCAGAAACUGGGGUAUGCAUGAAGACAGCAGUGCCUAAGGACAAGGAUGUCAUGUUGGGCGUGAUCCGUUACGUACGACAAUUCUUCUUCACGGCAUGAGCCUAUUGAAAUGCUCUUUGGGAGG